GCACGGGAACUCGCAGCGGUCGCCCCAGCGGUCGGGUUGGCAGUGGCAUACGCCGGUGGCCGGUUCGCACUGGCCAUGCGGGUGGCAGUUAACCGGGAUCUCCAGCGUCUUUCAGGAAGUUGAAAGGGAAGAUGAACAGCCCAGAACUGAACCCGUGGGAGGACUUUGAAGAUGGGGUAGAAACCAGACGACUCAGGGCAUCCCCGGGAGUGCGUCACUUCCUGUCUCCAGACCUCAGUUUCCUCAGCAAAGCUUGGAAGGACUCUG